rnacentral:rRNA from 1 species
GAUUGAACGCUGGCGGCAGGCCUAACACAUGCAAGACGAGCGGAAACGAUGGUKAGCUUGCUCCCAGGCGUCGAGCGGCGGACGGGUGAGUAACGCGUGAGAAUCUGCCCAUUUGUGGGGGAUAACUCGGGGAAACUCGAGCUAAUACCGCAUAAUCCCUACGGGGGAAAGCAGGGGACCUUCGGGCCUUGUGCAGAUGGAUGAGCUCGCGUCGGAUUAGCUUGUUGGUGAGGUAAAGGCUCACCAAGGCGACGAUCCGUAGCUGGUCUGAGAGGAUGAUCAGCCACACCGGGACUGAGACACGGCCCGGACUCCUACGGGAGGCAGCAGUGGGGAAUCUUGGACAAUGGGGGCAACCCUGAUCCAGCCAUGCCGCGUGUGUGAAGAAGGCCUUCGGGUUGUAAAGCACUUUCAGUAGGGAGGAAGGCUUACCGCUAAUAACGGUGAGUACUUGACGUUACCUACAGAAGAAGCACCGGCUAAUUUCGUGCCAGCAGCCGCGGUAAUACGAAAGGUGCGAGCGUUAAUCGGAAUUACUGGGCGUAAAGCGCGCGUAGGCGGUUUGUUAAGUCAGAUGUGAAAGCCCCGGGCUCAACCUGGGAAUUGCAUUUGAAACUGGCAGGCUAGAGUGCAGUAGAGGGAGGUGGAAUUUCCGGUGUAGCGGUGAAAUGCGUAGAGAUCGGAAGGAACACCAGUGGCGAAGGCGGCCUCCUGG